rnacentral:misc_RNA from 1 species
AAGUCGUAACAAGGUCUCCGUUGGUGAACCAGCGGAGGGAUCAUUACAGAGUUGCAAAACUCCCAACCCUUUGUGAACGAACCUACCAGUUGCCUCGGCGGCGAGCCCCCUGGGCGGACCGCCGGAGGAAUACAAACUCUUUGCAUUACAGUAUCUCUGAUUACUUAUUCAAUAAGUUAAAACUUUCAACAACGGAUCUCUUGGUUCUG